rnacentral:lncRNA from 1 species
GCUUUAACAAAUUAUUUUCUUUAACACACACAGACACACACACACACACGUGCGCACAUACCUACACUAUGAUACAGGUCAGAAUUAGUAAAGAGUUAAUACAAUCUUUCCCUUAUAUAUAGGGCAAUUACUAAAAUUUGUUGUCAUGCGGGACAACUUUUAUUUCUCUGUAACUCCUUUGGUUCUGUAUGGCAACUUGGGAAAUAUAUUCUUGCUACUUCUCCAGAAAAUGACUGCGCUCUUUGUAGAGCUUCACCUUCAGUGAGGUUAUGUCCUACAUUUGUAAUUUACUUAGACUCA